GCCAAUAUCCACUUCGAGACAUUUCUAUCGGGAUUCUUCUGUGUGGGAGGAAAGCCGACUGUAUCAUAACAGCUUUAAGUCUAUACAUUUUAGGAUAUCCUGAGAAGAGGAGAACCUGACAAGCGCCCGGGUGACUCGCCAUGCACGGACAAAUGAACAACGAUGCCGAAAAAAACUUUUACACUUCAAGACAGGAUGGAAAGCUUCAGUUGUGCACCUGCUAUUGUGGAAUGCCCUGGAGACGAUGACAGCCACCAUUAUCCUGGUCCAAAUGUUUUGCAAGCACUGCAUGGUGGGCAAAUGCAAAGUGGACAUCAUCUGAUGUUAUCUUAUGUGAAUGUUUGGAGGAGCACAGUAGGAAAGGAUCAGUUUCUUCACAGUUUUAUUAACAACUGAAGAUUAGAACAU